AAACGAUUCCCAUGCAAAUAUGAGUUUCAUGAUCUUUAUCCUCAUGUUUGAUGAGCUUUUGAGGUGAAAAGCUUUCCAACGAUAUCAAUUUUGCAAAAAUUCAAUAAUCGAGUAAAAAGUUAUGACAUUUUUCGUGUGAGGUAGUGAGCUGAUGCUAUCUUGACCCGUUGCGUCGACUGCGCCUCGACACGAAAUCUGACGUCAAUCCAAAGCUGUUUUACAUGCUAAUUCAUAUCCUAAAAGGUCUAGGGACACUUUGGUCAAUUCCCCUCACCCAAAUACGUCCAUAACAUUAAAUUUUAGCCCCCAAAAGCAUUAGAUACAUUCUCAUUCAUCUUUUUUCUCUCCAAGAAAGCCCUAGCCCCCUCAAGAACACCCAAAAACUCCAUCAAAUUUCCUUCAAGAUAGUCAUGAAUCUAAGCUUUCUAAUUCAAGAACUUCAAGAAGAAGCUUCAAGAACACCAUUAGAGAUUCAAAAGUUUAAGCUUUUACAUCCAAUUCAUCAAAUCCAAACUAUUAAGGUAACAUGAAUUUCAAUUUUGGGUUCAUACCCAUUUAUUACUAGUUGAAUAUUAUGAUUUUUAAGUGUUCUUGAUGUUGAAAUACAUGUCUAUUUUCGUAAAUUAAUGCUUAUGACUAUAAUUUUCAGAUUUUGAGUUGAAUUGUGAGUAUUUAUAUUAUCAAGCAUGAACAUUACAAUGUUUUGAGGUGAAUUGAAAGCAUGAGUUAUUAAGCCCUAAUUGAUUAUGGUUAUUUCAAGUAUGAUUAUGCUUUUGAGUAUCCCAUGACAUGAUUUUAGACAGCUUUGCACAAAGAUUUGAUCUUUUGAUCUUUAGCUAAGACAUGGAAUCCACUUUACAGCUUAAACUCAGUUUUGAAUGAACAGAUACAUAGUUAGCUUUCAGUAUGAAAUAUUAUGACUUUUAAAAGUGGAUUUUUCCUACAGUAUGAGCAUAUAAUUAAGGGAGUAGUAUUUAGCACCGAGCGAAAAGUGUGAGAUUAGCGUGUCCUAUCUUCCACAAAACUACAUGCCACUGUAGGAUUAAGAUUAUUUCCACUUCUACGUGGAUGACUCAGAUGUGAUCACUUAGCUCAGGUUAUACUCCCUGGCAAGAGUAUGACACCUCUCCCCAACGUGAGGUUUCUUCCUUAGAAGGACGAGACAUUGGACUCCAUGAUAGCUCGCUCGCAUGAUUUAUGUCGGUUAAGAGAACCUCCCUUACAGAUAAGCUUUUGAAAAAGAAUUUUUCUUGCAGAACAGUCUUUAAGUAUUUUCCCUGUAUGAUGUUUUGCCAUACAUGUAUAUGAGUUCGAUAUAUUGAUAUUCAAUUAUAUAAAUAGUAUUUGAUUUGGUAUUUUGAUCCUUUGAAUGAGUAUUGGAAUCCACUUUGCACCUUUAAUUAUGAUAAAUGCAUAACUAAUUUCAUAGUAAACCCUUAUGUGAGUUUUAAUAUGGAUUUUCAUGAGAUGAGCAUAGACAAUUAAAGAGAGUAGUAUUUAACACCGAGUUUGGUAUGAUUCCAAGGGCUUAUACCCCAAAACUACGUUCCACCAUAGGAUUGAGAAUUUAAGUGCCACGUUAAACUCUUUGGCAAGAGUAUUACACCUUUGCCUAAUGUGAGGUUUCUUCCUUAGGAGGAUGAGAUAUUGGACUCCAUGUAGCUCGCUUGGUUUAUGUCGGUUAAGAGAAACUCCUUUGUAGAAUGGUCUUUAAAGUAUUUUACCUACAGCUUAAUAGUAAAGAUUUUCAGAUUAGUUUCUAAAAGUAUUUUCCCUAAUAGUAAAGGCUUUCAGAAAAGAUUAAUACAAACAACUUUUAGAAAACUAAGGAUAAAGGCUCACGAAUUUAUUUAGAUUAUGUCUUACAGAAAGAUAUCAGCUUUCACAUUUCAGAUUUAAAGAGUGAGUCCUUUCUACACUUAGACAGUAUGAUUUAAAGAAAGAAUUCAAGUACAUCUUUUAGAAUUGGAUGUUAUGGCUCACAAGAUUUAUAAAGUAUGAAUUGCUCUUAUUGCUUCAGAUUUCAGUAUUUUAGACAUUCUAGCUUAUGUGAGUCAUUUACAUUUAGCAUGCAUUGUUUCACAAAUUAUGAUGAUGAGAUGAUGUUUUACUUAUGCAUUUCACCCCCUUAUACUCAAUACAUCCUCAAAGUACUGAUCCACAUAUAUGUCUAUGUGCUACAUUGUCUCAUAAUGUAGGUACAAGUUUUAGUAUGCACAUUCAAACUCAGACAAUUGCAGAUUCCAGCCAGCAAGAUAAUGAGUCCUCUUACUUCGGGGACUUCGAUUAGAUUUAUUUAUGUUCUUUGCUUUCUUCAUUCAGUCGUAUUGAUUCGGGAUAGCUGGGGUUCAUGUCCCGGCUACCUAAAAUCAAUGCUAGUAGAGGCUUCAUAGACAGUCAGUUGAGUUGUGUAUUUUUAUUUCGGUUUUGGUUUUACAUAAAGCAGAGUUGUAAAUAUUUUCCUACAGUUGUAUUGAUCAUAUUCAGAAUAGAGUUAUCUUCUGGUUAUUUUGUUCAGAUUUAUGUAUUUUAUUCAGUUGCUCAUGAGUUAUGCCAGUAGAAGGGUUAGCUUGGGAUCACUUGUGACCCUAAGCACCGUGUGACGUCUCAAAAUCCGUUUUCGAGGCGUUACAAAACCCCACCCCUUGACCGUCACAGCCCAUUGAUUGAAAACUUUUUCUAUUGAGUGUUAGUUGAUCCUUUCAACGUCUGAACUAACUAAAUCAAAAGCUUAAUUCGAAAGACGUGAUGACAUC
rnacentral:lncRNA from 1 species